rnacentral:lncRNA from 1 species
ACCGCGAAGGGAGGGACGAGGAAAGGCGGCGGGUGGCUUCAGGACAAGGACUUUGUGAUUACAUUGGGCCCAUCCAGAUCAUCCAGGAUCAUCUUCCCAUCUCAAGAUUCUUCACUUAAUCACAUCUGCAAAAUUCCUUUUGCUGUGUAAGCCUGAAAAGUAUCUUGCAUACACAACUGGCAGCACAGAAUCCUGACAAACCUCUCAUCAGAAAUCAACCACAGACUCUUUAUGCUCUUACCAAAAUGCUGGCUUUGAGAACUAAUUAUGAAUGAAAAUUACUGAUGUGAUUUUCAGUCUAGGGAAGAAUAUCAAGUUAAACUUUAUGAAGUCCAAGACAAUGGGAAAAGAAGAGGUGUUCCUGUCCAGGCCCUCUUCCAGUUAGAAGGUGAUGGUUUCCAGAAGUCUGCACCUGUAUUUCAAUUACCUAUAAUGGAGUUUAUAGGACUAAACUAUAUUCACUAUAUUUUCUUAUUUUUGUGUGUGUGUUUGAUGUGCUGGCAACUGGGGACUUGGUAACUGGGGAGGGAUAGCUCUUCUCAGGAAGAGCUAAUUCUUAGAGAUACAGGGAGCAUGCUUUUCAUAUGCAAACUACUCAAACUGGAGUCCACACUUCCCCAACCUCCUCUAUAGGACUCUUACUCUCCUGCCCGAUAUUCCCCUGCUCUAAUCAUCUUGGGGCCAGGUACCAGGCAACUCAGGACGGCCACUACACCUCCAGAGCCCACUGACAUUAUUAAAACUAGACAAUUCUAAGCUGCUUGCCCUACCUUGACCUUAUUCCUUUUGUUGCAAAACGCAAUAAAGGGUCUUGCCACAUUUUCCUUCUGCUCCCUCUGCCUCCGGACUGACCCUGGUGCUUUCCUUUGUGGGCCUUCGUGGCUUACCUCGUGUUUCUAGGAACCUGCAAGUGUAAAAACUUCUUUCUUCAUGACAGUCAUUUCCAUGACUGCUGCCUUACUAUACCUGAUUUAAACAAAUCCUGAGCACAUUUUAAAACAUAAAUUCAACAGCUGGACCUGCUAUGCAGAGCAAUUCAGGCGGAGGGAAUGGCUCAUGCACACUCUCCAAGUACUGUUAGGUAUGAGUUCUAAAUUUCUCUUCAAAGAAUCAAUAUGUCAGUAUGUUCAGUUCUUUGCCUUCUACUGUUAAACUUAACUUCCUCGUAAAGCAACCUUUUUCCAUUACCUGCUCCACCCUGACUCAUUCUGAUUACCUGCUCAUUCUCCACCCUGGCUUACUCUGAUUUCCUGCUCUGCCCUGUAACCAUUUUUCCCGCCAAACCACUCACCCUGUCACUCUCUUUAAAUUAGCCAAUUGGAAUUAGUUUAGCCUGUGCAGUCUAACCCAAGCCAAUAGGGGAACCAUACAGCAGCAGGGACCACGUGCCUCAGGGAUAAGAACCCCUUCCCCUCCCUUGUCCAAGUGUGCGCUCACGAUUGCUCCAUCUGUAAGGGUGCACCCUUCUAUAGAAG